rnacentral:rRNA from 1 species
CACAAAGGCUUGGUCCUGACUUUACUAUCAACUUUAGCUAAACUUACACAUGCAAGUAUCCGCAUCCCCGUGAGAAUGCCCUACAGUUCCCUGCCCG